rnacentral:misc_RNA from 1 species
UCCGGUUUGUCACCGGCAGUCAUUCUAGAGUGCCCAACUGAAUGCUGGCAACUAAAAUCAAGGGUUGCGCUCGUUGCGGGACUUAACCCAACAUCUCACGACACGAGCUGACGACAACCAUGCACCACCUGUCUUGAGUGCUCCGAAGAGGGCACACAUCUCUGCAUGUUACACUCAGAUGUCAAGACCUGGUAAGGUUCUUCGCGUUGCUUCGAAUUAAACCACAUACUCCACUGCUUGUGCGGGUCCCCGUCAAUUCCUUUGAGUUUCAGUCUUGCGACCGUACUCCCCAGGCGGAAUGCUUAAUGUGUUAACUUCGGCACCAAGGGUAUCGAAACCCCUAACACCUAGCAUUCAUCGUUUACGGCGUGGACUAC